rnacentral:rRNA from 1 species
UACGUAGGGUGCAAGCGUUGUCCGGAAUUAUUGGGCGUAAAGAGCUCGUAGGCGGUCUGUCGCGUCUGCUGUGAAAACUCAGGGCUUAACCCUGAGCUUGCAGUGGGUACGGGCAGACUAGAGUGCGGAAGGGGCAACUGGAAUUCUUGGUGUAGCGGUGAAAUGCGUAGAUAUCAAGAGGAACACCUGCGGCGAAGGCGGGUUGCUGGGCCGACACUGACGCUGAGGCGCGAAAGCCAGGGGAGCGAACGGG